rnacentral:sRNA from 1 species
UCAUAAGUAAAAGUGGGAUGAAUAUAG